CCUACGGGAGGCAGCAGUGAGGAAUAUUGGUCAAUGGGCGGGAGCCUGAACCAGCCAAUCCGCGUGUGGGAAGAAGGUACAGCGUAUCGUAAACCUCUUUUGUCAGGGAACAAAGGCGGGGACUAGUCCCCGGCUGAGGGUACCUGAAGAAAAAGCAUCGGCUAACGCCGUGCCAGCCGCCGCGGUAAUACGGAGGAUGCGAUCCUUAUCCGGAUUUAUGGGGCUUAAGGGGUGCGCAGGCGGCCUGUUAAGUCAGCGGUAAAAGCCCGGGGCUCAACCCCGGCGAGCCGUUGAAACUGGCGGGCUGGAGUUGGAGAGAAGUACGCGGAAUGCGCGGUGUAGCGGUGAAAUGCUUAGAUAUCGCGCAGAACCCCGAUUGCGAAGGCAGCGUACCGGCUCCACACUGACGCUGAGGCACGAAAGCGUGGGUAUCGAACAGGAUUAGAUACCCCUGUAGUC
rnacentral:rRNA from 1 species